GAUGAACGCUAGCGGGAGGCCUAACACAUGCAAGCCGAGCGGUAUGCAUUCUUAGCUUGCUAAGAAUGCAGAGAGCGGCGCACGGGUGCGUAACAUGUGUGCAACUUGCCUUUAUCAGGGGGAUAGCCUUUAGAAAUGAAGAUUAAUACCCCAUAAUAUAUUGAUUGGCAUCAAUUAAUAUUGAAAACAUUUGUGGAUAAAGAUAGGCACGCACAAGAUUAGCUAGUUGGUACGGUAACGGCGUACCAAGGCGACGAUCUUUAGGGGGCCUGAGAGGGUGAUCCCCCACACUGGUACUGAGACACGGACCAGACUCCUACGGGAGGCAGCAGUGAGGAAUAUUGGACAAUGGGUGAGAGCCUGAUCCAGCCAUCCCGCGUGAAGGACGACGGACCUAUGGUUUGUAAACUUCUUUUAUAUAGGAAUAAACCUACCCUCGUGAGGGUAGCUGAAUGUACUAUAUGAAUAAGCACCGGCUGACUCCGUGCCAGCAGCCGCGGUAAUACGGAGGGUGCAAGCGUUAUCCGGAUUUAUUGGGUUUAAAGGGUCCGUAGGCGGGCUAAUAAGUCAGUAGUGAAAUCUUGUCGCUUAACGAUAAAACUGCUAUUGAUACUGUUAGUCUUGAGUGUAUUUGAAGUAGCUGGAAUGAGUAGUGUAGCGGUGAAAUGCAUAGAUAUUACUCAGAACACCAAUUGCGAAGGCAGGUUACUAAGGUACAACUGACGCUGAUGGACGAAAGCGUGGGGAGCGAACAGG
rnacentral:rRNA from 1 species